rnacentral:rRNA from 1 species
AGUGAACGCUGGCGGUAGGCCUAACACAUGCAAGUCGAACGGCAGCACAGUAAGAGCUUGCUCUUACGGGUGGCGAGUGGCGGACGGGUGAGGAAUACAUCGAAAUCUACUUUUUCGUGGGGGAUAACGUAGGGAAACUUACGCUAAUACCGCAUACGACCUACGGGUGAAAGCAGGGGAUCUUCGGACCUUGCGCGAUUGAAUGAGCCGAUGUCGGAUUAGCUAGUUGGCGGGGUAAAGGCCCACCAGGGCGACGAUCCGUAGCUGGUCUGAGAGGAUGAUCAGCCACACUGGAACUGAGACACGGUCCAGACUCCUAAGGGAGGCAGCAGUGGGGAAUAUUGGACAAUGGGCGCAAGCCUGAUCCAGCCAUACCGCGUGGGUGAAGAAGGCCUUCGGGUUGUAAAGCCCUUUUGUUGGGAAAGAAAGGCAGCAGGUUAAUACCCCGCUGUUCUGACGGUACCCAAAGAAUAAGCACCGGCUAACUUCGUG